rnacentral:lncRNA from 1 species
UAACAACCUGUGUGUAUACAUUUUCUCUUUAUACUUUCAGAAUCAACAUUCCUAGGGAGAGAAUAACAAUAAUUAACAUUUUAAUUAAAUAUCUUCCUUCAAGAAAGGCAAAUUCACAUAGGAUCAUGCCAAACAGAUAAACAGAUUUCUAGGAAGCUGAAAUGUCUGCCGAGCUCCCUAUGCCAUCUACUAUGACUGAAUAGUGAGAAGCUGCACUGAUCUCAGAAAGAUAACAGAAAAACAAAAGAAGGACCAUUUUCCCGGGGACAGACUGACAGACGCUUUCAGCGGAGAAGUGACAGAACAGAACAAAGACUCUGGGGCAGAGAGGAAACAGGACAAACCCACUGACAUGGCCAGCCAAGCCACUAGCCAGCACUGCAUCCAUUCAGCUGCUGUCAUCUGGGAUAUGCCAUCUUCCCCAGACAAGCACACAAUAUGUUACUGCGCUUGGUUGAAGGAUAUAAAGGCAACCAAUUCAAGUUAUUUCCAGAAGACAGAGAAGAGGCAAUACAAUCAGGAAACAAACUGAAAUGAUAUCUGGUAUGUAACUAUUCAUUUUAUUAUUCCUUGCUACUUUUUCAAAGAUUGAAACACUUCCAAUAUAAUAUUUUAUCAGUUAAUACUUACAAUCUGUCUGCUAUGUGUCUCUGUGUUAAUCAUGCCUUUUAUUUUCUGCAUUUUGAUGCUUUGCUAUCUGUUUCUUUGCUGGUGCUGGAUAUAUGGCUUAGCUCAGGUUAGAAUAGUAAACAACUCAGCCAGGAAUGUAUCUUUCAAAUGUAAAACUGAUUAAUCCAGAACCCACUCCCCAGUCAACUUUUUUGUUGGGAUCUCAUAAGUUGGGCCACUAUUCACUUCUUUUUAUGGCCCCAGGGUCUGGUACCACACAGCUAGGGACAGAUCCUAUGCCAGAGAUCCUGCUGAAAUUACACUAAAUAGCCAGUCAUAAGCCUGUUUAUCCUGCCUCAUCUGUCUUUUCUAUUAGAAAAUACAAUUAUGACUCUUCUCAACAUUUUUCUCCUAUCCUUCUACCACCUGACUGACUCCAAUGCACAGUACACCCUCUAAUAUUUUACUAUGAUAUACUGUUCCCUUUCUAAUGGGAUCUAAAAGUAUAACAGACUCUAUUUUCAAUGGAAGUUAUCUUUGUUACCCCUACUGUGUCUAAGUAACAAUGAAACCUACAUUAAUGCAAAUUUACACUUUUAUAAAUACAUGCAAAAUCUGGUUUAAUUUUUACAUCAAGACUGAUGAAAGUAAUUAAGUCCUUUCUAUAUUAUUUUAUUUUAUUAUUUGUUUUCUUUUUUGUUUAAAUAUUUAUUAAUAUAAAGAGAGCAUAUUUUUAUGUAUUUCAUAGGUAAAAUUCCAAUAAGAUAACCAUACUUCCCUCCCUGUCUCCCUUUCUCUCUUCUUUUUACUCUUCUUGAUUCCUCGGAGUCAGUUCUUUACUUUAAAAAUGUCACUAGGAUGCCUGUGUUAGAUACACUUGUACAAUAAAUUAAUUUCC